rnacentral:rRNA from 1 species
CAGAACGAACGCUGGCGGCGCGUUUAAGCAUGCAAGUCGAGCGGCAAGGGCCUUCGGGCCCCUAGAGCGGCGGACGGGUGAGUAACACGUGGACAAUCUGCCCCCCGGCCCGGGAUAGCCCAGGGAAACCUGGAUUAAUACCGGAUGAGACGGGACCCGCGAUGGCGGGAUCCGGGAAAGGCGCUGCGGCGCCGCCGGGGGAUGAGUCUGCGUCCCAUUAGGCUAGACGGCGGGGUAACGGCCCACCGUGGCGACGAUGGGUAGCCGGCCUGAGAGGGUGGACGGCCACAUUGGAACUGAGACACGGUCCAGACUCCUACGGGAGGCAGCAGCUAAGAAUCUUCCGCAAUGGGCGAAAGCCUGACGGAGCCGACGCCGCGUGAACGAAGAAGGCCGUGAGGUUGUAAAGUUCUUUUCGGGAGGGGAACAACCGUGGCAGGGAAUGGCCGCGGGAUGACGUGAAUCCCGGAAUAAGCCCCGGCUAACUACGUGCCAGCAGCGGC